UACGUAGGGUGCGAGCGUUGUCCGGAAUUAUUGGGCGUAAAGAGCUCGUAGGCGGUUUGUCACGUCUGCUGUGAAAUCCCGAGGCUCAACCUCGGGCCUGCAGUGGGUACGGGCAGGCUAGAGUUCGGUAGGGGAGACUGGAAUUCCUGGUGUAGCGGUGAAAUGCGCAGAUAUCAGGAGGAACACCGGUGGCGAAGGCGGGUCUCUGGGCCGAUACUGACGUGAGGAGCGAAGACGUGGGGAGCGAACAGG
rnacentral:rRNA from 1 species